rnacentral:lncRNA from 1 species
GGGACCCACUAGGCUCAUUGCAUUAGGCAAGCAGGUGCCUCAUUAUUACAAGCCACAAAAAUACUUCCUCCUAAUUGUUUGACAACUAGGUCCCACGCCAUUGUCGAUGUGGUCAAUAAACGAGAAAAUUACACAACGAGCGGAUAACACCAAGGACCCAGCAGCUCACCCAGUUGCUUUUUAGUAUCAGAGACGGAGCUCAACUGCGUGUUCUCCGGGGGCUGUGGCCCGUCUAGCCCACGCUUAAGCUUUUAUUUAAGCACAUGACGAGCCCAAUUGAUAUCUUUUUUGUUUCUGAAAAAGGCUAGCCCAGUUCUUUUUUUUGGAGAAUACCAAAACCGAGGCCUACUUGCUUUUCUCAGCCCUGCUUGGCUGCAAAUCUGUCAAGACGAGGAGGGAUGUAAGUAGUAAGAAAUAGGCUUCCCUAAAAAAUGGGCUAUAAGUUGUAAGAAAUGGGCUGUAAAUUUUUAAACCAAAGCCAACCGGCAAUUACAUUAAAAUAUCUUUUUUCUGGAUUCCUCUACUCUCUACUCUUAUAAAAACCAAAGCCAACUGGCAAUUACACUAAAAUAUCAUCUUUUCUCCCACAAGAUAAACUACUCAUACAAAUGCAUCUUCAUGUUCCGUGCAACGCACGGGCAUCUUGCUAGUUAAGAUUUUAAAUUUCAUUAAUUUUUUGCGGAGAAUUGUUUUUUGAAUUUUAUUUUUAUAUAAUUUUUAAAAAAUAUUUUUAAUGUGACUCGAAAUUUCGUGAUUAAAAGAGUUCGGACCCCACCGAAAUAAGCAAAUUUUCGUUGAAUUUUUUUGUAGUGCCCAGAAUAUAUGGUUUGUAAUGCUAAUAAAAAGAAUGUGGGCUUCAAAUAUCCUUAAGAAUUAGCAAAGGGACUGUAAAUUAUUGAAAAUAAUGGAAAAUGGGUUGUAUGCUGUUUUCCACAGAUUUGGAGGCUGACUUCUGGGCCUACUAGGUUGACGAUGACGCUGUCCUAAUUUUUUUUGACGCGUACGCAAGGCUUUGUCAACUUAGUCAACCCAAAGCAGUGACUGUUGGAUGUCCAUCCAACGGCCGCCGUGCUUCUUCAUUCUCUGAUCUUCCUGCUCCAGUCGCCCAAACCAGCACCGGCGGGACUGCCUGCUCCCUCCUCCCAUGGCUGGCUGUGCUGCCGCCAGGCCAUCCCUCCACCCACCCGCACAUCCUGUUAUUUUCCGGCGAUGUCAGCCUCACCCCGCAGCCGACCAGUCAGCGCUCGUACUCCCCUUAGUGUGGGCAUCCGCUGUGGUGGCUUCGCCGGCUCCAGGUCGUUCCCUUCCUGGGCCUCGCCCUCGUCCACCGCGUUUGUGCUCUUGACGCGACGAGGUCAACAUGGUCAACAUACAACAGCCAUCGGAAGAGGCUGACAGUAGGGGCCCACAUAAGGAAAUGCCUCCUUAUUACGCGCAAAAUAAUGAUUCCUCCACCUGACAGGCGGGACCCACUGGAAGGGCCUCUGUAUUUCGUGAAAAAACGUUCCCUCCGCUGACAGGUCAGACCCACCAGCUAUAUCUUCGCACGCAAGGAAGUGCCUCCUUAUUACGCACAAAAAAAAUGAAUACUCCCCCUGCUAGCUGGACCCACCAUAGUGGGAGGCUGACUUGUGGGCCUACUAAGAUGACGGGGGCGGAGGGCUUUGUUAACUUAGUCAAUAUGAACGAUUCUAGCUCCAGUGACCGUACGAUGUCCAUCCAACGGCCAUAGUGCUUCUUCAACCUCUGGUCUUCUUGCUCCAGCCGCCCAAACAAGCAUCGGCCGUGUGCCUCCCGUGUCCGGCUGUGCUGCCACCGCUGGCCAUGUCAUCCCUCUAUACUCACCCACACCUCCUGUUAUUCUCCGGCAAUAGAAGCCUCACACCGCAGCCGAAGCAGUCAACCCACGUACUCCCCUCCGCGUGGGCAUCCACUGUCGCCUCUUCCCCAGCUCCGUGUCAUCCCCUUCCUAGACCUCACCGUCGUCCACCACCAUGGUGCUCUCGGCGCGGCGUGGUCAACAUGGUGAAGGUACGACUUCCGUUGAAAGAGUACUGUAUGUGAAGAGGCUGACAGCUCGGUCCACGACAGCAGCAAGGAAGUGCCUCCUUAUUACGCGAAAAAUAAUUAUUCCUCCACCUGAUAGCAGGGACCCACCGCACGGGCCACCGUAUUUCGCGAAAAAACAUUUCCCCCCUAACUGCUGGGACCCACCAGCUAUAUCUUCGCACGCAAGGAAGUGUGUCCAUAUUACGGGUAAAAAAAUUGUUUCCCCUCUGACUGCUGGGACUCACCAGCUACAUCUUCGCACAGAAGGAAGUUCCUGACAGUCAGGACCCACCUGGUCGAAGCGUACGUAGCGUUGUCAUUCUGGUCGCGAACGUGUAGUACAUACUGGUCGAUCGGUCUUUCUGCAAGUAUGAACCGUGGCCGAGUAAGUAGCGACACGUGUGUCAUUGUAGAGCACCCGACAUAGUAGUUCACGUAGUCCCGUCCAAGUCUUGUACAUGUACGUACAGCCACAGGGCAAAAAAUACGGCCACAUACGUGCAUACGGGCGGGUCUCGAGCGCGUACUCGCGGACGGCCAGGGCUUGUUUCCAUGGAGAAGCAACGGACUGGAGCAACGGUGUCCUGUUCAUCGGGCAGCGAACUGACUGGGUCGGAACGGAGAAACAACAUCGUGUUCAUCUGGAGGCAACGGAACGCGUGCUGUUCAUCGGGAGCCAACCGGCUUGGACGAAACAUCUGAUGGAAACGAGGCCUGGCGUACCGCAGAACGAAGGAAACGGCCUUGUGUUCGAUCGGCCACGGUCAAAACGGGAUCAUGUUCAUCGGGAGGGGUCUGGCGUACUGCAAAACGGAGGAAUCGACUUCUCUUGGACCUCCUACGGUCGAAACAGAGUCAUGUUGAUUAGGAGGGGUGUGGCGUACCGCAAAACGGAGGAAACAGACUUGUGUUGGAGCGCUACGGUCGUAACGGGGGUCCUUUUCAUCGAGAGGGGUGUGGCGUACCGCAAAACGGGACUCCACAGGAUACUGUUCAUCUCCACCGUCUACCUCAUCUAGCCUCCAUGGGCUACUGUUCAUCCACCGUCGACCUCCUCCAGCCUCCACCUGCGACUGUUCAUCCACGGGCUCCUGUUCAUCUAGCCUCCACCACACGCUCCUCCACCGGCUACUGUUCAACCAACCCUCUCCACGGGGUCCUGUUCAACCACCCCUCCAUGGGCAACUAUUCAUCCAGCCCUCCACUGACUAUUGUUCAAUCAGCCCUCCACGGGGGCCUGUUCAUCCAGCCCUCCAUGGGGUCCUGUUCAUCCACCCCUCCACGGGGUCAUGUUCAUCCACCGGCUCGAUUGAUUGGGGUACUGUUCAUCCAGCAGCAAUGGCCUCUACUACCACGGGCUCUUGUUCAUCCAACCCCCCACCGAGAACUGUUCAUCCAAACCCCCCAACAACGCUCACUGUUCAUCCAGAGGAAGCAUCGAUCGGCUUCAGUUAGCAGUAGUAGCGAAGGAAUCACCCAGGCUCACUUAACAGCAAGGGAUUGAUCGAUCGCUCGGGUUCAGUAACGCGUAGCUUGCGGUGCAAUCACUCGGGUUCAGUUAGAUCCCAACGCCUCGCUCGGGUUCAGUUAGAGCGCAACGCCUCGCACACACGCGUGUACGUAUGAGAGAAACGUGCAUCGAUCGCUCAGCCCCCGACCACCCACCGUAACCAGGAACUCCCCGAUAUUUUCCUCGCCUUUGCUUCUACCACGGCUUUCCCGUCAUGGACGGCCCAAAGAAUGUCAUGCAGCUGCGUCUCCAGCCCGCCCAGGAUGAAAAGCCCAUUUUCUAUCAUGAUUUUUCUGUCAUAGAAGUAGGACCCCACCACAUCUAUGAUGAUACCGAGUUUUGUCACAAUUAUCGUCAUAGAAGUGUCAUAAGCAUGACAGGAAAAAAAUUUGUUCGGCCCAAAAUGUCACGGAUGUGUCUUUUUUUGUAGUGGGAGUACCAUGAACUUCCUAGCAUAUCAAAAAUGUAUGAGUUUUUUUGUUGUGCAACCAACUUAAGGUAGGGGCGUGAUGAUUAUAGGGAAUAGCAUGAAGCUUCUAGUAUAAAUAUUCGUCAAUUCUCUACUACAGGAACACUUCAAAUUCAGUGUAUCACAAAAAAAUCUUGGAAAGCAACUAGUUGCAAGAAGAAAGUUGUGAGGCUCACUCGAAAGGGAUUAACAGAUUAUACAUUGCUCUUCUCUAAAAAUCGAAAGAACCAUGAGCAUGCAUGGAACGUGUUUGACCGUGGGAAACAACAUUAGAAGACGCGAUUACGAACUAAUUACCCCGGUCAGGAUUUCAUAUGCAUGUUCAAAACAAACGCAACCAAAUGCGGUACUACCUAACGAGGUCUUGUUUACUUGUUUUUUCUCUUUCCGAGAAAUGGCAACAUGAUUACUACUAGGAUAAAUUAACUAAGGCACGUACAGAUCCUACUCGGCCAUCUAUAUACAUAGUAUUUUUCAAGACAGUAGUCCAGAUCUAGCAUUAGCAGCAACCAACUAAUCAUACUAGGAGGGAUGGAGGAAUUUGAUUGGAAGAAUGGAUGAGAACUACACGGAGGGCCAGUUGUACAGGAGUUCUAACCUAAGCCAGCCAACGUAGGACACACCAUUUCCCAUUAAAUCGGUGCUGCUCUUGCGCUGUUCUAGCCACUGAAUAAUUCUCUUCUCUGGGAGGGACGAAGAGGCUUUGAGGGCAGAAACUACAUAGCAAGAUGAAAGAGGGAAGUGAGCGAAC